rnacentral:rRNA from 1 species
AUUGAACGCUGGCGGCAGGCCUAACACAUGCAAGUCGAACGAGUGGCGUACGGGUGAGUAAGGUCUGGGAAACUGCUUGGUGGAGGGGGUUAACUAUUGGAAACUGUAGCUAAUACCGCAUACCAUCAGAUGUGCCCAGAUGGGAUUGGUCAGUAGGUGGGGUAAUGGCUCACCUAGGCGACGAUCCCGAGCUGGUCUGAGAGGAUGACCAGCCACACUGGAACUGAGACACGGUCCAGACUCCUACGGGAGGCAGCAGUGGGGAAUAUUGGACAAUGGGCGCAAGCCUGAUGCAGCCAUGCCGCGUGUGUGAAGAAGGCCUUCGGGUUGUAAAGCACUUUAAGCGAGGAGGCGUUACUCGCAGAAGAAGCACCGGCUAACUCCGUGCCAGCCGCCGCGGUAAUAC